CCAUACCUACGGGAGGCAGCAGUAGGGAAUUUUCGUCAAUGGGCGCAAGCCUGAACGAGCAAUGCCGCGUGAACGAGGAAGGUCUUCGGAUCGUAAAGUUCUGUUGAAGGGGAAAAAGAGCGGAGAGAGGAAAUGCUUUCUGAUUGAUAUUACCCUUCGAGGAAGUCACGGCUAACUACGUGCCAGCAGCCGCGGUAAUACGUAGGGGGCAAGCGUUAUCCGGAUUUACUGGGUGUAAAGGGAGCGUAGACGGCUGUGCAAGUCUGAAGUGAAAGCCCGUGGCUCAACCGCGGAACUGCAUCUAA
rnacentral:rRNA from 1 species